CCUACGGGUGACAGCAGUGAGGAAUAUUGGUCAAUGGACGAAAGUCUGAACCAGCCAAGCCGCGUGAAGGAUGACUGCCCUAUGGGUUGUAAACUUCUUUUAUAUGGGAGUAAACUGUACUACGUGUGUUAAUUUGUAUGUACCAUACGACUAAGGAUCGGCUAACUCCGUGCCAGCAGCCGCGGUAAUACGGAGGAUCCGAGCGUUAUCCGGAUUUAUUGGGUUUAAAGGGAGCGUAGGGGGAUUGUUAAGUCAGUUGUGAAAGCUCGCGGCUUAACCGGAGAAUUGCAUUUGAACCUGGGGGUCUUGAGUACAGGAGAGGUGGGCGGAAUGCGUGGUGUAGCGGUGAAAUGCUUAGAUAUCAUGAAGAACACCGAUUGCGAAGGCAGCUCACUGGACUGCAACUGACGGUGAGGCGCGAAAGCGUGGGGAGCAAACAGGAUUAGAUACCCUGGUAGUC
rnacentral:rRNA from 1 species